rnacentral:snRNA from 1 species
GCUCGCUUCGGCAGCGCAUAUCCUAAAAUUGGAACGAUACAGAGAAGAUUAGCAUGGCCCCUGCGCAAGGAUGACACACAAAUUCGUGAAGCCUUCCAUAUUAAA